GCGAGGUGUUGAGGGUGUGCGCGUGCCUGUAAUCCAAGUACUUGGAGGCUGAGACUGGUGGAUCGUUGAGUGCUCAGGAUCACUGAGCCUACAGUGGCUAUGUCGAUUCGCCGGUGUCCGAAUAAGUUUCGACCUCUGUUGCGUGCGUAUCGAUUAUGGUGCUCCUGGGGCCGAGGCCGGGACCACCCAGUGUCGUCUAAGCGAUAGGGGUGCACCGGCCCAGGUCGCGAAACGGAGGCAGGCCAAAGCCCGCCGUGCUGCUCAGUAGUGGGAUCGCGCCUGUGAAUAGAGGCUGUAGUCGCCAGCCUGAGUCAAGUACAGCGGACCAGUCUUUU
rnacentral:SRP_RNA from 1 species